GCAAAACGUUCUAUCGCUGCUAAUUUAUUAGCGGAGGAAAGUCCGGGCAACACAGAGCAUCCUGCUUCCUAACGGGAAGGCGCCGGCAGCCGGCGACAGCAAAGUGCCACAGAGAAAAUACCGCCACGGUGCAAACCGGGGUAAGGGUGAAAACGUGAGGUAAGAGCUCACGGCUUUUCCGGGCGACCGGAGAUGACGGUAAACCUCAGGAGUUGAAAAACCAAAUAGGUCUUGAAAGUGGGGCUGCUCGCUCCCGCUCGCCAACUUGUUGGCGACGUUAAGAUGGGUAGGUUGUUUAAACCUGUCAGCAAUGGCAGGGCCAGAUUAAUGAUAGAAGUUGCCUUUAGGGGCAAUACAGAACCCGGCUUACAGGUUUGC
rnacentral:RNase_P_RNA from 1 species